UCUAAAAAUAAAUUUUAGGCGGGAAGACUCGACGACAAUGUUUUUAUUAUCAAUUAUCGUGGAAAGAUGCGAUAAUUGCGAUCCUUAUUUCAUCAACUUUCUGUAUUUUGAUUAGGGCACUAAUAUAGCUGUGAUUGAUUAAUAGGUACUGACAUGUUAGUUUGAAUUAUGGAUCCUAUUAGUUUUUCUGGAGACGACGAUAAUAUAAUUGAAUUCCAAAAAAUACCUUGCAAUUCAAAAAGGAACAAGAAGAGAGAUGGACAUCAUUUUUUUCGAAACAUUCAGUUGAUAUGGACUUGGAGUCUAUUCCAUCUGUUGGUAUAUAUGAAGUCCGAAAUGACUUCGAUUCAAAAAGCGAUGAGAACUCCUCAGUUGACCAAUCUGACGAAAUAAUUGAAUGCAAAAACAAUGUAGAAGUAGCAAAUGUGAGUAAAAAUAAUAGAAAAAAAGGGUUUUCUUAAAAAGUACCUACAGUAAUAAGGGUAAAUGAUGAAAAAACUGAUUCCUUGCUUGAGCAGUCUGAAGAAAUAAUUAAAUCAGAAAGUCAUGAAGUACUUGAAAAUAUUGAAACUAUCAAGAAAAAUAAACUACCUAAAAUAGUUCCUAAAAAUAAAAUAAUAGGGUCAGAUAUAUUACCAGUCAAUGCAAUUGAAAAAAGCAAUACAAACUUUAUUGUCGAACAAUCGAAAAGAAUCAUUGAAACUGAAAGCAAUGACGGAGAAAAUGUAGGAAAAAAGAACAAUAAAAAGGAGGUCUGUCAAAUGAUAUCUACAGUUACAAAUAGUUAUUCUAAAGGAUGUGGAUAUCAAAUUGGUCCUAUUUCAAUCAUUAAUUCUUAAUUUUUAUUGAUGUUGUAAUGGAUGCUUAUAAAUGUUGAAAGAGUAAUACAAACACAUUUAUCUGAAGCAAGUGAUGAAAAUUGAAAACGACUUCUUCCUAGUGAAGAUCAUAUAAUGAAGAAAGAAAGUUGAAGGCCUAAACUGUUUUAUAAUGUUUACUUGGGUCCAUCGAGUGGAGUUGAGUAUAUUCAAUAUCAAUAUCAAAUAUAUCAAAUAUGGAACUUAUGUUUAUUUUGUAAGAAUUCAGUGUAUAAUGUCUCAUUUUUUUAUGUUUUCCUAAUAAAACUUCAUUUUUCAAUUAUUA